AAAUGCUGACGUGGCAGUCCUGGGGACAAAACCCUAGAGAGAGCGUUCGAACCCUCCCUAAUCCCCCUCUCCUCUCCUAUUUCACGAAGCCCAAAACAAAAAAUAUUUGGAAAUUGCGCGGUUUUUAUCGAUCGAAGUGGAGAUAGCGCCUCUCUCUCCAAUAGUGGUUCGCGGGACUGCAGAUAAUGAAGAAAUUGUUGUUUAGCACAGUAAAAAGAUUCAUGCUUUGUUAACAAGGUUGUUGAUUUGCUAAAUGAUAUGGGGCAUAUGAUAUUUAUGAAGCAUUGUGUGGGGGAUGCUCCCUCGUUCGCCUUUUCCGAUAGAUCUCAGUAUAGUUCGGAGCCAUUUUUGCCGACGAAACCAUAUGCAGCUUAUUUGGAUUAUCCGAAAAAUCUCGAGCAUAAACAUGGAUCAAAUGUCUACCAAGACAAUGCCAUCCAUUUACAGUCUACGAAUCAUCAGUCGCAAUUACGGAGCAGCCACAAAAAUGUAUUAAACGGAAGUACAAAAUCCGGCAAUAAUUUUGAGAAGACCAUUGUAUCCUCACACGCUAGACCGGCCCGUCUUCUGAAUUUAAAUUUAAAUUCACAUGAUUUGCCUCUCGAGGGAUACUUUAUUGACUAUGAUGAAUCGUCCAACAAUGAAAUCCUUCGAAGUUUCUGCGAGAACGGAAAGGUCACAGAAGCUGCUAAUCUGAUUGAUGUUAUGGCGCGCGUGGGCCAAAUCCCUGACUUUUCGUCCUGCAUUAAUCUGAUACGCGGGCUGGUUAACGCCGGUAAGAUGCAAAAGGCAAGCCGUGUUCUUCAGGUAAUGAUCUUCUCCGGGGGAAUACCGGAUAUCAUAACGUGUAAUAAAUUGAUCGGCGUACUAUGCAGCAAAGGACAGCUCAAUCUCGCGAUAAAACUCGUCGAAGAUAUGAAUUUCGGUGGUUGUCCUCCGGAUGUGAUCACGUAUAACACUUUAUUUAGGUGCAUGCUUGAUCAGGGUAAGUGUGAAGUGGCAAUUUCCUUUUGGAAAGGUCAGUUAAGAAUGGGCUCUCCGCCGUAUUUGAUACCUUACACCAUACUUCUUGAGCUCAUAUGCAAAAAUCAUGGUAUUAAGAAGGCCAUGAAAGUUCUAGAAGAUUUGGCCUUUGAGGGAUGCAAUCCUGAUCUUGUUACAUUUAAUGCUCUCAUAAAUGUUAUUUGCAAAGGUGGAAAGUUUGAGGACGCAAAACUUGUUAUCAACGGUCUUCUUGAUUAUGGUUUGGAGCCAAACGCUGUGACUUAUAACACUUUACUUCACGCCCUAUGUGGAAAAGGGGAGUGGGAUGAAGCGGAUGAUUUACUUUCUAUAAUGAACGAAGCUUCCUUUCCUCCAACUGUUGUGACAUACAAUAUAUUGAUUAAUAGUUUAUGCAAGUAUCGCCUUCUAGACCGAGCAAUUGAUUUCUUGCAGAAAAUGGUAACUGAGGAAUGCUCUCCUGAUAUAGUAACUUACAACACCCUCUUGGCAGCUAUGUGUAAAGAGGACAUGCUAGAGGAAGCUCUCGACAUACUUCAUUAUAUGAGGGAAAAUGGGUGUUGUUUGGUUGUUAUUACAUAUAAUACCCUUAUAGAUGGGCUUGCAAAGAAAGGCGAGGUUAAGAGAGCGAUGAUUCUAUUUGACGAGAUGGUUAGUGAUGGGAUAGUCCCUGAUGAUAUCACCUACGGAUCGCUUGUUAUGGGGUUUUGUAAGAAAGAUAUGGUGGAGGAAGCAGUUGAGAUGUUAAGGCAGAUGGUUGAUGUUAAUUUUAGGAUUAGAGGCACUACUUUUACCCUUGUAAUACAAGCAUUGUGUAGAAAUGGAAAGGUAGAUAGUGCUAUUGAGAUAUUGGAUAUGAUGAUAUCUCGAAGUAAUAGGGCCAGCAGAGCAAUCUAUGCUACUCUAGUUAAAGGAAUUGCUGAUUCUGGUAUGGUGGAAGAGGCUGCCAGGCUGCAUAAGAAGUUAGUUGAGUGCAAGAUCAUUAAAGAAAAUUCUAAAUUGUUAUGAUUAGUCCUGAGAAUGCUUCUUUGAAGAGUUGUCUCAUUUCUGACAAAGCGUAAAUUCUUUUGUCCCUUGGUUGAAAAGGUUUAAUAUUUCAUGCACACAUUCAUGUCGAAAAGAUCGUUCUGAGCUUGGAUCGAGUUGCAUAGAGAUCUACAGCGCCGUUAGCAUCAUCAGAAUUUGGUCUUCUUCCUUCUGUGCUUCUGAAUUGUGUUGCCUGUAAAGUUUUCGCCGUCCCCUUUUCGUAAAAAUUUAUCGGUAAAUGAGGCUAUUUGGCGGCAUUUCUUUCUUUUCAACAUAUCCUUUAACAUUGUAAAGAUCUUGUAGCAGCCCCAGCAGUAAUCAUAGCUGCAGUUCUUUGUAUGUGUAGAGACAUGAGUGAAACCAGAUAUGCUACUUUACAUGCUUAA